rnacentral:rRNA from 1 species
UGCCAGCCGCCGCGGUAAUACGGAGGGGGCGAGCGUUGUUCGGAAUUAUUGGGCGUAAAGAGUAUGUAGGCGGUCAAGUAAGUCAGGCGUGUAAGCCCUCGGCUCAACCGAGGAAUUGCGUUUGAAACUGCUCGACUUGAGUACGAAAGAGGAAAGCGGAAUUCCCAGUGUAGCGGUGAAAUGCAUUGAUAUUGGGAAGAACAUCGGUGGCGAAGGCGGCUUUCUGGUUCGAUACUGACGCCGAGAUACGAAAGCUAGGGGAGCAAACGGGAUUAGAUA